AGGUGAUCACAAUGGAACAAGACAGAUAUUCAGCUCUGAUCAUGCAAAAGAUCCUUUACUGAAUCCUAAUGUUCUAAAAAAUAAGGACCGUCAGCAAGCAAUUUUGAAAGGAUUGUCAGAACUGAGGAAGGGUUUGCUUCAGAAACAGAAAGAGUUGGAAACCGGUUUGAUACCAGAUAUUUAAAUCUAGAUGGCACCUACGUUGGGAACUCUCCUUUUUUUUGCACCAAGCUCCCUACAGUGCAUAUAGGAGUGUGUAUCUAUGUGUAUAUAUGUAUAUUUAUUAGAAGAUAUUCAUGUAUUCUGAUGUUUGUAUUAUGAAUGUAAAUAUCAUACUAGAUUGUAAGCACUAGAACAGUGUUGUGUGAUCUUCAUGUAUUUGCUGCUGUGGAAUGUGUUUACAGUAUUUAUAUUGAACUUCUCAUAUGAGUGUGAUGUGCAACUUUUUAUAGAAUGUCUGUUAAUUCUUUUUUGAUAAAUAAAUAUUUUUUUUAAAUUAA